CUUUGGCAAUCGUGGAACCCGAGGAAAAGGAGAGGAUGUCCAAGGUCUCUCACCAACAGUGCGUGUCAUGCCUUGGCAAUGACACAUAGCAAAUUCUUUCAUAUCCAAUUCGCCAUUAGUAAUCACACAGUACCACUCAACCAUGAAAAGACUAGCAAACGCAAUCCUACCUAAGUUCUGAAAGGGAUACUCUGCAGUAAACUUGCAUUACAUUUGCAAACAGAAAAAGAUAUUAUUUUGGAGAAAAGGAACUAAGUGCUUCAUGUAAUGGCUAUAUUCAGAAAACCAGCAUUCCACCCAGAUAAUAUCAAGGAGCUGAAACCCAGAAAAUCACUGCAUCUGGACAAUGAGAUGCCAGAUUCCUCACCGUCAUGGUCAGAAUCGCUUAACUGACCACCUGCUUCCUGUUGACCAACUCCUCUUCCUUACCGCUCCUUAAUUCCUGUUUUCCCACACAAGGUUACAUUUCUUCCCUGCUAUAUAAACCCCUAAUUUCAGUCAGUGGGGGAGAUGGGUUUGAGACUGAUCUCCCAUCUCCUCGGCUGCAACACCCAAUAAAGCCUUCGUCCUUAGCAAUA